rnacentral:lncRNA from 1 species
UUUUUUAGCUCUCAAUACCAAAUAUGGCUAUUCCCCUGUAGAGCACCCAAACGACCCAAACACGAACGCGAGAACCCAACCGACCCGACCCGGAACUUUCAGCGCCCACCCCGUAGCCGACCCCCGCGCGCCGGCGCCGAAUCCAGCGGCCGUACCACGCCGCCGGUCGGUCCUCCCCGACCCCACCGUCGGCUGCCAAGGUCCUCCCUAGCCGCCGGCACCGUCGUGCACGGCGUCGCCGCCCCCUCUGCUGCCUCCGGCUGGCUUCUCACAUCUCCUCCAAACUCCUCCGCACGCAACCCCCACUCCCGGACAGCAGUAGGUGGAGCUCGGCCCGAAGUCCCGCCGGACCUCAAGAAUCCGGCCACCGGGUCCAAAUCCCGGCCGCCCACCCCCACACCCACCCACUCUCUUUUCUAGUCGAGGAGCCCCCUCCCCGCUGCCUCCCAAUGCCGGAAUUGGGGCCCAAUCUCGCCGGAGUUGGAUUGCAAGCUUGGCGCCCGCCACGUUGUUCAACGAAAUUCCAGCAAUUUGAGUUCAUUCAAUCUCUUUGAAUCAAAUUGCAAAUUGGUUUCCAUCAGUGGCGGAGGCAGGGACCAGGCCAGCCCUGGCCCUGCCGCCGCCGCCGCCGCCAACACCACCACCCCCCACCCCCACCCCCACCCCCACCCCACAAUAUGAUUUGGUAUUUUUACUUAAGUCCUCGUAUAAUCUUUGCAAUUUCAUAAUAUGAGCUUCAUAUUCUUAUGCUUUGGCCCUUCCUAAUAAAUCAUCCUUCUAUUUUGGCCUUCCCUAUGUUAUUUUUCUGCCUCCGCCCCUGGUUUCCAUGAGUAAUAUGUGAGUGGUGGGAGAUGCUUAUGUGUGUAGAUGGAUUGGUUACUUGAAAAUUUCGUCGAAUGGAGAACAAGGCAACUAGUUUAUCUACGUUGCAUCAUAUUUAUCUAUGUUUUGAACUUUGUGUUGUGAGACAUUCAUAAAUGUUUGUGUUCAAUUCGGUUCUUAAAAUUUGUGAUAUUAAUGCACUAUUUGGAUUCUAUUUUAUGAUGUUCAGAUUUCAUAUGCACUAGUUUAAUUCUUAUAUAGUUUGGAUUGGAUAUGCAAGUAGAUGAGAAGGGGAGAAGAAACAAAUAUGGGUAUUCAGUUUUGGGCUGGAAAAGUUGGAGUCAUUUUGAGUACUCAUAUUUUCUCUCUCCACCACCCAUAAUGGUUUUGGGUACUAUGAACAGUUCGCUCAUGAAGCACGUAGGCUGAGAUCCUUCAAUUGCUGAGGAUCCACAGGAGAUGACGCUUUGGUGAGUGAACAUUGAGCAGUCGUGGUCUUGGGGAAAGCUAUCACGUCCCGGAUUGAACUUUCACGAGCCAAAAGCAUCACCAACCGGUCCAACCCAUAAGCAAUUCCUCCUGCCAAAGGAUGAGGAUGGAGGUGACAUUUCUGUUUAACAUUCUACUUCUAGUUUAGUAAAAGCAAAACAAAAACAACAAAUACGAUACAAGAUAACGCACCAUAAAUAAGUAUGCACUAGUCUUUAUUCAAGCAGCUUAGAUCCAGAAAUUAUAUAAUGGCAUGGAUAUAGCAAGGAACAAGAUUGUUUCACUUUAAGAGACAGAAAACGUAGAAGCAAGAUUGCUUCAGAAAGCUGCUCCUGUUUGAGAAACAGCAGUUUAAUAAAAAACAUAGAAGAAGCAUAAAAAAAGGAAAGUUCAGCUGCUAGCUCAAAUGCACUAAAGAACAUAAUACAUCGAGAGGAAUGUGGUUUAAGACAUCAGACCAUGCGGAGGAGCACCCAUGUCGAAACACUCCAAAAGGUAACCAAAUUUUUCCUCUGCCUGCAUUGCAGAUUUGGGUUAUGAAGUUUGUCCCCCAGCAAAAGAGCAGUACUAAAUACAGCAUGUUGGCAGAACGAGCAACGAUGGACGUAAUGUGGAUAAAGACCGAUAUCUUACAGAGAAUUCCAAGUUCACACAUUAUAACUCUCUACAGUGUUAUCACUUCUAUAAUUUUUAUAACUCUCUACAGUGUUAUCACUUCUAUAAUUUUGCUCACGUUGUAACAAGCAUGCAAAAUUUAUCAGCAUAGAACAAACAUUUUUGAAUCUUGACAUCAAUUUUCAAUUUGAUUGACAUUGCUAAGAGAGUACAUUCAGAUCAUAUGAAGCACGAGCCAGAACAAAAAGUCACACCUGUUCAGGUGAGAUGCCGAGGAUCUCGAAAAUUCUUUGUUGCACAUCACUUUUGUAGAUCCUCAAACUGCCCCCUCCAAUCUAUCAAUAACAGGACACAGAACAUCAGAUGAACAUCACGAUUUCAACUAUGUUUCUACAUCAUAGCUCAUUGCAACUUGCAUAGGUGGCAUUAAUACAUGCAGAUAUAUGCAGCUAAACUUAUUAUUGAUAUAUCAGUUUAAGAUUUGACACUUAGCAGAAUUAGUCAUUUAUAAAAGAAAAGGACAUUAACUCAAGCAACCAGCUUUAUGAGCAUUUUUAUUGUCCAAACCUGUCAGGACCAAUAUGGUAAGAGUAUUUAGCAUCUUAAAUUCUCAACCAUAUGCCAAUACAAAUAUAACGAUUGCACGCCAGCGGACAAAUUCCUUCAUGCAUAGUAUGGAAACUCUUUAGGUGAGCUCGGUAACAGAUUUGAACUUCAGUGUAGAUUCAAACAUAUUGAAACAUCAAAACAGUCAGGGGCGGAGGCAGGAAAAUAUCAUAAGGAAGACCGAAAUAGAGAAUACAAAAAUAUAUGACUUAGAGGCUUAGAGCACAAAAACUUAAGGAGGGCUGAAAACAGUGCAUUAAGCUCAACUUGAGUACACACUUCAGAAUAUAAUAAGUACCUCCACCCCAUUGUAAAUCAUAUCAUAAGCCAAGGCACGAGCUGAUGGUAGAUCAUUCAUAUCUUCAGGAUUUGGUGCAGUGAAAGGAUGGUGUAGAGCCUGUCGAUCGAAAGGGGGCGGGGGAUACCCAUUUUCGAUGCUGUAAAAGUAGAGAAGAAUAUAUACCUCCUAUACUUUUUGGGUACAAAACUGAAAGGUUUACCUCAUAUCUCUCCUCAUCACUGUUCCAUUCAAACAUUGGAAAAUCCGUCACCCAAAGAAUUGAGUGUGCUGUCUGGCAUAAAAGAAAGAAAAUUCAAAGGGUGAUAAAGAACAAAUAAAACAGAAACCAAUAUAUAUAUCUAUAUAACCUAUAAAGUUGAUCCCCACUAAGUGUAAUUAAUAUUUGCAAGCUUCACAUGCAAGGUGUCCACAUCAUGUGUUGUAUUACACUAGGAAUCUAUUUUAGUGGUCCAUUUGAAUUAAAUAUUUUGAUACCUAGGAUUUUUUCAUCUUCACGUUGCAUAUAAAUAUUUCACCAAACACACAUAUAUUCAUAAUAUGCAUAUCAUUUUUUCUAAGAUAUGCAAAUAUUCAUGUUGACGAAACUUCACUUUUCGGUUUCUUCGAAUUGUUAAUGUUCAUGCACAUCAAAAUUACACCUAUUGUUUUAUUGAAUAGGUGUUAUGAAUGAUAAAGUCGUUUUGUCCUACAAUAUUCAUAUUUAUUUUACAUUAAAUCAUAUUAUUAUCAUUUGUUUCUAAAAUCAUAUCCAGACGUGCAUAUAGAAUUUUCCGCGGCAACGUGUGGGGAAUCACCUAGUGUGUGUGUGUGUCUAUAUAUAUAUAUAUAUAGGGAAAACAAAUAAAACAGAAACAGACAAUAUUCACGGUGUCUCAUCAAUAUGCCAUUAAGGACAAUUGUACAGAAUAUGUUGGCAGUACAAGAAUGAACAUUCUUUGUUUAGGAGACUCACCGUGUCUAUCACUUCCAACUUAUGAGCAAUAAAUAAUCUUAACCUGCCAAGAAUUUGAUUAGCUGUUGAAUGCUCUCCCAGGGCAAACAGGAUAAGGUCACCUGCUUUUGCGUCCAUAAGUUCCAAUAGCUGCUCUUUCUUUUCAGGUUUCAGAGUUGACACCAGCGGACCAAUUCCUUCAAGCUCCCCUGUUGCAGAACAAAAAGGAUAGAAGAUAUAAUAUUUGCUGCC